rnacentral:rRNA from 1 species
CAAUAGCGUAUAUUAAAGUUGUUGCGGUAAAAAAGCUCGUAGUUGGAUUUCUACCGAAGAUAGCCGGUCGGGUCUUCGACCUUGUAUCUGGUUUUGUCUUUGGUAUCCUCAUAGGGAACGUUUCUGCGCUUUAUUGCGUGGUGCGGUAUCUAUGACUUUUACUUUGAGGAAAUUAGAGUGUUCACGGCAGGCAAACGCCUUGAAUAUAUUAGCAUGGAAUAAUAACAUAGGAUCUUCGUCCUAUUUUGCUGGUUUCUAGGGCUAAGAUAAUGAUUAAUAGGGAUAAUUGGGGGCAUCUGUAUCAACGCGUCAGAGGUGGAAUUCUUGGAUUGCGUUGCGACAAACUACUGCGAAAGCAUUUGCCAAGGAUGUUUUCAUUGA